ensembl:lncRNA
AGUAAUUUGGGGGUUGAUUUUAUUGAUCAGUUCUUUAGGAAAGUCUUCUCUGGGGAGCAAUGAUGAGAUUACCAUGUUUGCUAUUGGAAAUUUGGUGGCACUUUAUUUGGAUAGUCAGACUACAGAGACUUUACCGGUUUGUUGAAAUUCAAGGUUCACUGAACAUCACCUUAACCAAACCCAACCCCUAACCCAUAAACUGUAGUUCACAAAGUUUCAACAAAUAUUUUGUGUAAUCUUCAAGAGCCUUUUUUUGCCACCAUUUGUUUUAUUCUGCAACCACUUUUUUUGAUUUUAGGUUGUUUUUUCCUGUGGUGGUAAUGGUGUUUUGUGGGUCUUUUACAGUGGAUGGACAUUUUGUUGUGGGGCACCAGACCUUAGCAACUCUGUGUUGUGGGAAAGAGCUUUAAGUGGUCAAGGAUGCAGUCUGGAGCUGUUUUGAUGUUUUGCCAGUCAUAGCUGAGAUGGUAGUAAGACUGGUAAGCUGUUCAGUAAAGGACAAUUUAUAGUCCAUUCAGUAAGUAUCACUCUACAAGAAAAGAUUGUCAAAUUUGAAAAAAGUGUAUACUCUCUGAUUGGAUGGCAACUCAAAGUUCUACGUUCUGGUGUGUUGCCGUGGUCACAAUGUGCGGCUGUGUUUACUUUGUGGUUUCGCAAUUAGAUGUAACUGUCAACGAUGGGUGGAAGAAUCUACGAUCCGCUUACCGGAAGUAAUUUUAAGAUCAGUCACCUGAGUGAAACGGAAAACAGGAUUUUUUGAUUGGCUAAUACCAGGACUUUUUUGUUGAGCUACGAUGUCGAUUGCCUGACUUUUAGACGAUUGUUUUUUUUGUUUCGUUUUUUUAUUCUGUUUUUAUUUUAUUUUUUAUUCUGUACAGCUUAACAACUGGAUUGUUAACCAAACUUUUACGAAGUCAUACCGCUGAACACACCCGACUUGUUAACCAAUCUUUUAUACCGUGACAAAUACGAUUAUAAUAGUUGCAAGCUAGCGUAACUAAACUAAGCGUUAAGUUAGCUUGGUAGUCAAACUAUUGACGUCUUGGUUUGGCUGUUUAUUUCACAUGGAUUUAAUUUUGACAACACGUCACUUAACUUGAAUGUGCCUACAGCACGCAACAUCAUAUUUUUUCUGUUUUCUGUUCCAGAGAUAUUUUUAUUUGUACCAGUUCAGCAGCCAACGCAUUGUUG